rnacentral:rRNA from 1 species
GACGAACGCUGGCGGCGUGCCUAACACAUGCAAGUCGAACGGAGUGCACAGAGCAGAGCCUUUCGGGGUGAAGCACUGUGUUACUUAGUGGCGCACGGGUGAGUAACACGUAGGUAACCUGCCCAUGGGACGGGGACAACCAGUGGAAACGCUGGCUAAUACCGGAUAAGACCACGUAACGAGAAUUAUGUGGGAAAAGGGAGCAAUCCGCCUGUGGAUGGGCCUGCGAUCUAUCAGGUAGUUGGUGGGGUAACGGCCCACCAAGCCGAAGACGGAUAGCCGGUCUGAGAGGACGGUCGGUCACACUGGGACUGAGACACGGCCCAGACUCCUACGGGAGGCAGCAGUGGGGAAUUUUGCGCAAUGGGGGAAACCCUGACGCAGCGACGCCGCGUGAAGGAAGAAGGCCUUCGGGUUGUAAACUUCUUUUGUAGGGGAAAAGAGAGGAUGGUACCCUACGAAUAAGCCACGGCUAACUCUGUG